AAGGUAUUCUAAACAUGGAAUUUCUCUAGCUUGAGUGUGAGAGAUAUGCUUGGUUAGGUUUUCUUGUCUCUCUUUGCUAGCUCUCCUAGGGAAUUGUUGAUGAUAUUCAUUUUUCCUAAGACUUUCUUCCCCAAGAUAAUCAUGAUGUUUAGAGCUAGAUGCAUGAGAAUGUAAUUUUUUUGAAAAUUGAGACUUCUCAUUCUUUGCUUUAGUCAAUUCAUUAGUUUUGAUCUCAUUCUCCAAUUGUUUAGAUGAAAUUGAUUGAAUAUCCUUAGUAAGUUGUUUCAAAAUAGAUUUCAAGGAUUUCACCUCACUUUUAAGAGAUUUAGAGGAGUGAGAAGACAUGACUAAAACUUUGUGUGUAGAAGUAUUUUACCUUGAGAAAAAUUUAGGGAAGUCAAAGAAGGUAGUCUUCCAGGUAAGGGAGGUGAGUCACAAAGGACUACUUAAGUACCAAGCCUUUGCCUUAGCCAAAAACUAUCCCUCAAUGUCUUCACACAAAACUUCCUCUUAGUAAACUACUUAGAACACAAUUAAGUUGAGAAAUCAAAACUUUUUUUUUUUCAAUGCAAGAAAACAAAUGUAUGCUAACUAAUCAACAAACCUAGACGGUUUGACACAAACUUAACAAAAU
rnacentral:lncRNA from 1 species